rnacentral:tRNA from 1 species
GGGCGAGUGGCGGAAUGGCAGACGCGCCGGCCUUAGGAGCCGGUGCCGCGUUGAGCGGCGUGUCAGUUCGAGUCUGACCUCGCCUACCA